AUUGAACGCUGGCGGCAGGCCUAACACAUGCAAGUCGAACGCGUGGCGGACGGGUGAGUAAUGUCUGGGAAACUGCCUGAUGGAGGGGGAUAACUACUGGAAACGGUCGCUAAUACCGCAUACCAUCCGAUGUUCCCAGAUGGGAUUAGCUGGUGGGUGGGGUAACGGCUCACCAAGGCGACGCUCCCUAGCUGGUCUGAGAGGAUGACCAGCCACACUGGAACUGAGACACGGUCCAGACUCCUACGGGAGGCAGCAGUGGGGAAUAUUGCACAAUGGGCGCAAGCCUGAUGCAGCCAUGCCGCGUGUAUGAAGAAGGCCUUCGGGUUGUAAAGUACUUUCAGCGGGGAGGCGUUACCCGCAGAAGAAGCACCGGCUAACUCCGUGCCAGCAGCCGCGGUAAUUC
rnacentral:rRNA from 1 species